AUGUGUGCUCUAGGAGUACCUGGAGACCGCGGGAUUCCUGGUGCAGCUGGACCUCCUGGUGAUAGAGGGCCGACGGGUAUACCUGGAGUCCCUGGUUAUCCAGGAGCAUCUAUAAAAGGUCCAGUGGGUGAAUCUGGUUUACAGGGUUUAAAUGGACCUAAAGGAGAAAAAGGUGACCCAGGAAAAAUAUACGGGGCAUACUUAAACUAUGGGGAACCUGGAAAACGUGGCCCUCCUGGACCCAAAGGACAAAAAGGAACUCCUGGUAAUCCUGGUGAGUGGAUGUGGAUUUUUCCCCCUCAGAUUGUUACAUUUCCUAUUGUCUGUCUUAACCAGUCCUGACAAAUUGAUGUGAUUGAUUCACAUCAAAGUAUCUGUAUAUAUUUGUAUAAAAUGCAUGUUAGAGAGAGGCAAGAAAUGAAAACCAUUAGUCUGUAUAAUUAGACAUUUGAGAGCAUGUAAGUUUUUACUUAGUUCCAAUAAUUCUUUUGUUUACUUUUCAUAAUUGCCUUUUGUCAUUGAGAUGUCUUUUGUCAUUUUAUGUCUUUUCAUUUCAUUCGUUAUUAAUAUUAAUAAAACAUUUUGCAUGUUUAGUUUAGACACACUAACCUAUGUCUCAUUUUGUUGACAUUAUUGAUAAUGUCGUGUGUGCAUCAUCACUGAAGUUAUUGUAUGUUCUUCAAGCAUGUCAUCCUUCUUUGUUUGCCUGCUUGCAUGUUGUCUUUGUGUGUACGUCCAUCCUGUUACGGUGUCAACAUUUGUCUCAUCAUCUGUUUCGAGUGAACAGUUUGCGGUGAGCACAAUGUUUUGACAGGCACAUGCUACAUACAUUUAUUCAACACCUUUAUACAUGUAACAUAAUACUUAGAUACAUAAGGCAUGCAACUUUAAGAGCUAUCAUUCUAAAGAAAUACAGCUAAUACACUGUGAUGAGAGUAACUGUCUGUGAUACAGGUUACUACUGCCUGCCUGGUGAGCGUGGAGAAUCUGGACAGGUUGGAAAUAGAGGGCCUCCUGGAUUAAAAGGUGUUCAGGGGAGAAAAGGUGAGUUUUCAUACAUUGAUAUAUAAUCUUAUAUUUAUAUAACGAUUUAUAUAUAUAUGUGUGAAUGUCAUUCUAUUAGAUUCAAAAUAUCAAACCAAGUGGUGUCUGCAAAUCAUGCAGUAUUUUUUUUUUUUCAAUUCAAGUUUAUUUGUAUUGCACUUUUCAUGAUACAAAUCGUUGCAAAGCAGCUUUACAGAAGAUUACAUUUCUACAGUAUAUUUAGUAGUAGCUUGUCAGUGGUGACUAUGUCAAAUUGAUGUACAUGUGGAAGAAAUGUACAGUAAAAUUUAGUUAAUGAUGUAAUCAAACCAUGAACACUAUUAACAGCAAUGAUUAUAUGUUGCAAUCAAACUUGUAGCAAAAUUUGGUAGUUUACGUUUCAGGGUUGGCAUCCUCUGGGGUCCUCUGAGGGGCUUGCAUCAUCUCUUCUCAGGUGUUUGGUCAUCUCAGGUCUUUGUAAGGGCUGGAUCCAGACUGAAGCUUGUGUAAUUCCUAGUUCUGAAGCUUGUGUAAUUCCAAGUAUCCUGUGGCAGAUUAGCGUAGCUGUUGUUCCAACCAAGCAAAAAUUAUUUGUUCAACCUAAGCUAAGGAAUAAUAAUGUGCAUUUGAUAUAACUGCAGUACAAGAUUAUGAGAUGCAUUAUUUGAAUGCUAUGCCAAAGAGAUGUGUCUUUAAUCUAGAUUUAAACAGAGAGAAUGUGUCUGAACCCUGAACGUUAUCAGGAAGGCUAUGUCAGAAUUUGGGAGCUCUACCUCCUUUAGUGGACUUUUCUAUCCUAGGUAUUACCAAAAGACAAGAGUUUUGCGACCUUGGGAAGCAUGAUGGAUUGUAGCGUGGUAGAAGACUAGUUAGGUACACAGGAGCUAAAACAUUAAGGGCCUUGUAGGUAAGUAAGAAUAUUUUGUAACUGAUACAGAACUUAAUAGGUAGUCAGUGCAGAGACUGUAAAAUUGGGGUAAUAUAAUAUAAAAUUUGUGCUUUUUUGAUAUUUUGUUAUAUAAUAUUAAUCUUAAAAUUUGUGAUGUAGCUUAAUAUUCCAAAUACUUUUUUUGUGCAUUUUUUCUGGUGCUGUCCGUGGUGCUGAUUAUUUUUGGUUCUUUUGUACCAACUGUAAAGUUAUGUGUAGUGUGUAUCAGUUUCCAUUAGGAGGCGGCAAAGGGUGCAUCUUUUCAACCCAGGUAUGAG
rnacentral:lncRNA from 12 species